GACGUAGGGCGCGAGCGUUGUCCGGAUUUAUUGGGCGUAAAGAGCUCGUAGGCGGCUUGUCGCGUCGAAUGUGAAAACUCGGGGCUCAACUCCGAGCUUGCAUUCGAUACUGGAUGGCUAGAGUCUGGUAGGGGGAUCUGGAAUUCCUGGUGUAGCGGUGGAAUGCGCAGAUAUCAGGAGGAACACCGGUGGCGAAGGCGGGAUCCUGGGCCAGUACUGACGCUGAGGAGCGAAAGCGUGGGGAGCAAACAGG
rnacentral:rRNA from 1 species